GAAUCUUCCGCAAUGGACGAAAGUCUGACGGCGCAACGCCGCGUGUGUGAAGAAGGUUUUCGGAUCGUAAAACUCUGUUGUCGUAGAAGAACAAGUAGGAGCGUAACUGUUCCUCUCUUGACGGUACCCGACCAGAAAGCCACGGCUCACUACGUGCCAGCAGCCGCGGUAAUACGUAGGUGGCAAGCGUUGUCCGGAUUUAUUGGGCGUAAAGCGAGCGCAGGUGGGGUCUGAAGUCUGAUGUGAAAGCCGAAGACUCAACCGUGGAAGGGCAUUGGAAACUGGGGAACUUGAAUGCAGAGGAGGAGAGUGGAAUUCCAUGUGUAGCGGUGAAAUGCGUAGAUAUAUGGAGGAACACCAGUGGCGAAGGCGACUCUCUGGUCUGUUAUUGACACUGGGGCUCGAAAGCGUGGGGAGCAAACA
rnacentral:rRNA from 1 species